GAACGCGAAGAACCUUACCAAAUCUUGACAUACUCUUGAAUAGCUUUGUAAUGAAGCUGGACCUUCGGGACAAGGGAUACAGGUGGUGCAUGGUUGUCGUCAGCUCGUGUCGUGAGAUGUUGGGUUAAGUCCCGCAACGAGCGCAACCCCUAUCUUAUGUUGCCAGCACGUAAUGGUGGGAACUCAUGAGAGACUGCCGCAGACAAUGCGGAGGAAGGCGGGGAUGACGUCAAAUCAUCAUGCCCCUUAUGACCUGGGCUACACACGUACUACAAUGGGAGUUAAUAGACGGAAGCAAGAUCGCGAGAUGGAGCAAACCCGAGAAACACUCUCUCAGUUCGGAUCGUAGGCUGCAACUCGCCUACGUGAAGUCGGAAUCGCUAGUAAUCGCAGGUCAGCAUACUGCGGUGAAUACGUUCCCGGGUCUUGUACACACC
rnacentral:rRNA from 1 species